AACGAACGCUGGCGGCAUGCCUAACACAUGCAAGUCGAACGAGAUCUUCGGGUCUAGUGGCGCACGGGUGCGUAACGCGUGGGAAUCUGCCCUUUGGUUCGGAAUAACAGUUGGAAACGACUGCUAAUACCGGAUGAUGACGAAAGUCCAAAGACUUAUCGCCAGAGGAUGAGCCCGCGUAGGAUUAGCUAGUUGGUGUGGUAAAGGCGCACCAAGGCGACGAUCCUUAGCUGGUCUGAGAGGAUGAUCAGCCACACUGGGACUGAGACACGGACCAGACUCCUACGUGAGGCAGCAGUGGGGAAUAUUGGACAAUGGGCGAAAGCCUGAUCCAGCAAUGCCGCGGUAGUGAUGAAGGACUUAGGGUUGUAAAGCUCUUUUACCCGGGAUGAUAAUGACAGUACCGGGAGAAUAAGCUCCGGCUAACUCCGUGCCAGCCGCCGCCGUAA
rnacentral:rRNA from 1 species